rnacentral:rRNA from 1 species
GUAGUAAGAAGUUAUGGGCUUGAAAUCUAAAGAAUUUGGCGGUGGUUAAAUCUAAUUAGAGGAACUUGUGACGUAAACGAUAAACCUCGAUUAUCUAUCUUUUCCUUGUAAGUUCAGUUUGUAUACCUCCAUUAUUAGAUGAUUUUUAUAGAAACUCAUCAAGAUAGUUCUGUUCUAAAAUAUUAGGUCAAGGUGCAACCUAUGGGAGAGUGAUUUGUGAGUUACAAUGGUUUAAAAAUUAUUACGGACCGAAUCUGUAAAAGAUUAUGUGAAGGUGGAUUUAAUAGUAAUUCGUGUACAUUUAGCACUAAUGGAGUUGGCUCUUAAGCAUGUACACAUCGCCC